rnacentral:rRNA from 1 species
GACAGAGGUUGCAAGCGUUGUUCGGAAUUACUGGGCAUAAAGCGCACGUAGGCGGUCCGCUAAGUCAUGUGUGAAAUCCCCGGGCUCAACCUGGGAACUGCGUUUGUGACUGCACGGCUAGAGUACGGCAGAGGGGGGUGGAAUUCCUGGUGUAGCAGUGAAAUGCGUAGAUAUCAGGAGGAACAUCGAUGGCGAAGGCAGCCCCCUGGGCCGAUACUGACGCUCAUGCACGAAAGCGUGGGGAGCAAACAGG